AGAGUUUGAUCCUGGCUCAGAAUCAACGCUGGCGGCGCGCUUAACACAUGCAAGUCGCACGAGAAAGCCGGAGCAAUCUGGUGAGUAAAGUGGCGCACGGGUGAGUAACACGUGGGUAAUCUACCUUCUUGUGGGGAAUAACCCUGGGAAACCGGGGCUAAUACCGCAUAAGCCCGAGAGGGGAAAGCAGCAAUGCGCAGGAAGAGGAGCCCGCGGCCGAUUAGCUAGUUGGUGGGGUAAAGGCCUACCAAGGCAGAGAUCGGUAGCCGGCCUGAGAGGGCACACGGCCACACUGGCACUGAGACACGGGCCAGACUCCUACGGGAGGCAGCAGUGGGGAAUCUUGCACAAUGGGGGAAACCCUGAUGCAGCGACGCCGCGUGAGUGAUGAAGCCCUUCGGGGUGUAAAGCUCUUUCGGCAGGAACGAUAAUGACGGUACCUGCAGAAGAAGCUGCGGCUAACUACGUGCCAGCAGCCGCGGUAAUACGUAGGCAGCAAGCGUUGUUCGGAGUUACUGGGCGUAAAGAGUGUGUAGGCGGUCAGCUAAGUUCGGUGUGAAAUCUCCCGGCUCAACUGGGAGGGUGCGCCGAAGACUGGCAGGCUUGAGUGCGGGAGAGGAAAGCGGAAUUCCUGGUGCAGCGGUGAAAUGCGUAGAUUUCAGGAGGAACACCUGCGGUGUAACGGCUUUCUGGACCGCAACUGACGCUGAAGACACGAAAGCGUGGGGUAGCAAAACAGGAUUAAGAUACCCUUGGUUAGUUCCACGCCCCUUAAAACGAUGCAUUACUUGGGUUGUGGGCCAGUUCAUUUCUUGUCCGUUGCCCGGACUAACGCGUUUAAGUNUUGGCCCGCCUGGGGAGUACGGUCGCAAGGGCUGAAACUUCAAAGGAAUUGGACGGGGGCCCGNGCAACAAAGCGGUUGGAAGCAUGUGGUUUCAAUUCGACCCCAAACACCAGAAAAACCUAACCUGGCCUCGAACGGCUGGUCAACGGCGGUGGAAACAACUGCUAUCCCCACAAGGGAGUCCAUCGAGGUGCAUGCAUGGCUGUCUGUCAGCUCGUGUCGUGAGAUGUUGGGUUAAGUCCCGCAACGAGCGCAACCCUUGUCUUGUGUUGCAAACCGAAAGGUGCACUUCAGGAGANCGCCAGCAGAUAAGUUGGAGGAAGGUGGGGAUGACGUCAAGUNAUCAUGGCCUUUAUGUCCAGGGCUACACACGUGCUACAAUGGACUGGUACAAAGCGCAGCGANCCCCCCGAGGUGGAGCUAAUCGCAAAAAAACACAGUUCUCAGUUCAGGAUCGCAGGCUGCAACUCGCACUGACGUGAAGCAUGGAAUCGCUAGUAAUGGCAUAUCAGAACGAUGCCGUGAAUACAGUUCCCGGGCCUUGUACACACACGCCUCGUCACAUNACGANAGUUGGAUUGUACUAGAAGUCCAGCAGACUAACCCAGCAAGGGNGCNNCCGCAGGCNACAAGGUAUGAUUCAUGAUGUUGGGNUGAAGUUCGUAACAAGGUAGCCCGUAGGAGACCUGUCGGACUGGAUCAC
rnacentral:rRNA from 1 species